rnacentral:snRNA from 1 species
AGCUUUGCGCAGUGACAAUAUCAUAGCCUGUGAGGUGAAGCUGAGGUGCAAUUAUUGCUAGUUGAAAUUCUAAUUCUG